CACAACACCUUAGUGAUUCCAGUUGUGAAAGCUUUCAACAAUAUCACUUGGCUUCCUUGCAUUGUAGUUUUUAAAGAGCAGCUUUUUCAGCUAGGGAAAUUUGCAGAGGGAUAUGGACACAACAAGAAAUGAACUUGGAAUGGUUGCACGCGUGCAGCAGAAGACUGUUUGAUUCACGAACCCUUUUUGCCAGCUUAUGCAGGGACGGGAUACACAUUAUCCCCUUUUGCAUUGGUCCCUACAUCGGUAGUGGCUUCAUUCAGUUUUCAUAGUUUAUCGUCUAAGCUGGGAAAAAGCGGGAGUUAACUUCUCCCCCCCCCCCCACCAUCCCCAUACCUUUACACAUCCCUCUGUUCUUUCCCCAAGCUCCCAGUUCCUCUACCAGGGGUAAGCUGUGUUUACAGCAGAAUAAAGACUGAAUGGAAACAGUUCCUCAUGACCCUGUGAUCCCCGAUCCAAGUUAUCCCCUCUGACUACUGUCAGAAGCCCCCAGGAGAUCUCCUGUGAUUCUCCUGACAUCUCUGCCUAAUCCCUCAUGAAAUGUCUGCAAUAGAUUUUUUUUGGGGGGGGGGGGACCGCAAGAGGGUUCUCCUUUUUCAUCCUGAUUUCUUUUCAUGCCAAGCUCUGUCGGAAUGCUUCUGUCUCAUGCUGAUGGCAUCCUUCUGUCUUAGAAUCUGCUGCAGUGUCUUCAGUUUGUCCUCUAGGGGUGGCCAACCUAUGGCACUCCAGAUGUUCAUGGACUACAAUCCCAUCAGCUCCACCAGCAUAGCCAAUGAGCCAGGCUGGCAGUGGCUGAUGGGAAUUGUAGUCUAUGAACAUCUGGAGUGCCAUAGGUUGCCCACCCCAGGCCCUUCUCCACAAGUUUUAAGUAGCAUGUCUGGUCGGAAAGCAGAUCCCUUUUCUUUUUCUUUUAUUUUGUUUUUUAGUAGAAAGAGUAAAAUCCUGAAACCUCACACACUGGGACUUUCAAGUAGAUGGUUUUCAGGAUUUUGUCUCCCUGCUUAUUUAACUUAGCCAACUAGUAUAGCAAUGAUUAAAAAUCUAACUAUGGAUUUAAAUAUUGGAUUAAAUUUUUUUGUACAAAGUAGGUGUUAAGUUUUUGAAGGAUGUAAUCAAGUAAAAACUGAUCUGUUCUCAGAAAUAAAUUGUUUUUACAACUUUCUGUUUCUUUAAAACCAUGCAUUUCUGUCCAAUUGAACCAGUUAAUUUUGUUACAGGAAUAAAUGCAAUAUCCAAGGGGGAAAGUGACAGUGACUUUGUUUUAUUUGCCUUGGGAAAUUCGGUGGUGCAGGAUUAAAGAACUUCCAGUGAAACCUUUACAAUCACUGGGAGCCAAUCAAAAGUGAUGAAUGGCAGAAAUGUCAAAGCUACAGGCAUGAGAAAAUAACCAGAUCUCACAUCUCGAGAGGAAAAGUGGACAAUCAGCUAGUAUAAUGCAACAGUCUAAGCAAAAUCAUUCAGUAAACAUUACAGCAUGCAAGCAGCAUUUGAUGAGACCCAAGCACAAAAAUAUAUUUCCUGCAAUUCUGAUCAAGGGAAAAAAAAUACAGUAAAACUUCAGAACGUGGAUUCUAUGGAAAUAGACAAGUGAGUAACACCAAGGAGGUACCGUAUUCUGAAUAGUAUUUCCAAAGCUGCUGUAGCAAACCUCCUUCAACUGAACCUGUAAAACAACUUACCCAGAAUCCUCUUUUAUAGUUAUACCCCAAGGUAAAAUCCAAGCUAUCUUGGAGUUCUCAUAAAAACAAAUGUUUAUGGUGACAGAAAUCAUUGUUUACCCAGAGUCUGAAAAUACUUUCAAAUAAGGCAGAAUAUUUCUUUUGAGUAGAUUCACCCCAUCUCUCUUGCAGGCUGAAUUAUUCAUACCAGUGCUGUUCAUUUAGAAAGCUAUGGUCCCGUCCCCCAAAUUUCAAAACAAACAUUUAAUGUUGAAUGUAAGAUACUAGAAAACUAAUCAAAUUUCAUACAUUCUA